rnacentral:misc_RNA from 1 species
GAUGAAGAACGUAGCGAAAUGCGAUAAGUAAUGUGAAUUGCAGAAUUCAGUGAAUCAUCGAAUCUUUGAACGCACAUUGCGCCCGCCAGUAUUCUGGCGGGCAUGCCUGUUCGAGCGUCAUUACAACCCUCAGGCCCCCGGGCCUGGCGUUGGGGAUCGGCGGAGCCCCCCGUGGGCACACGCCGUCUCCCAAAUGCAGUGGCGGUCCCGCCGCAGCUUCCAUCGCGUAGUAGCUAACACCUCGCGACUGGAGAGCGGCGCGGCCACGCCGUAAAACACCCAACUCUUCUGAAGUUGACCUCGAAUCAGGUAGGAAUACCCGCUGAACUUAAGCAUAUCAAUAAGCGGAGGA